AUACGGAGGGUGCGAGCGUUAUCCGGAUUUAUUGGGCGUAAAGCGUACGUAGGCGGUUGGUUAAGUUAGAUGUGAAAGCCCCGGGCUUAACCUGGGAACUGCAUUUAAAACUGGCGAACUAGAGUUGAGUAGAGGGGAGUGGAAUUUCAGGUGUAGCGGUGAAAUGCGUAGAGAUCUGAAGGAACACCAGUGGCGAAGGCGACUCCCUGGACUCGAACUGACGCUGAGGUACGAAAGCGUGGGUAGCAAACGGGAUUAGAUACCCGGGUAGUCC
rnacentral:rRNA from 1 species